rnacentral:misc_RNA from 1 species
UCCGGCCGAAAGCCGGCAGUCUCGGUAGACACGAGUAACUACCGAUGAGGGUUGCGCUCGUUGCGGGACUUAACCCAACAUCUCACGACACGAGCUGACGACAACCAUGCAGCACCUGUGCCACACCCUCGAAGGCGACCCCCUUUCAGGGGCUUGCAGUGGCAUGUCAAGCCUGGGUAAGGUGCUUCGCGUUGCGUCGAAUUAAACCACACGCUCCGCUGCUUGUGCGGGCCCCCGUCAAUUCCUUUGAGUUUUAAGCUUGCGCUCGUACUCCCCAGGCGGCCGGCUUACCGCGUGAGCUAAGGCACCCAGGGACCUAAACGGCCCCCAAGCACCGAGCCGGCAUCGUUUACGGCGUGGACUAC